AGGUUUUGAUUCCAAUACCAGGAGGAUUAAUUGAGCUGCUUGUUACCAAACAAGUAUUUGAAGAUCAGCAUGUUAUUGAUUUUAUCACAGCCCAAUACAGCAUCUCAAUGGAGCAGGACACCCUCGAUAACAUAACCGAUAAACAAAUGGACCCAUUUAUUUGCACAGCAGAAAACGGGUUUCAAGAGAUGGAGGCAAUGCAGAGGUCCAUGAUGGCUGAUGAGACACAACAACACAUGCAUAUGCAAUACAUGGAGGCAUUAGCACCAGACAUGGAUCAGCAGGACGGCAAUGAUAAGCAGGA